UACAGAGGGGGCAAGCGUUAUUCGGAAUUAUUGGGCGUAAAGGGCGCGUAGGCGGCCUUUCAAGUGACGGGUGAAAUCCCUCGGCUUAACCGAGGAACUGCCUGUCAGACUGGGAGGCUUGAGACCGGGAGAGGUGAGUGGAAUUCCCAGUGUAGCGGUGAAAUGCGCAGAUAUCAGGAAGAACACCCGUGGCGAAGGCGGCUCUCUGGGACGGUACUGACGCUGAGACGCGAAAGCGUGGGGAGCGAACGGG
rnacentral:rRNA from 1 species